GCAGCCGCGCUUUGGGGCGUCGGCUCACGUGGGGCCGGCAACGCGUCUUCCAGGAUGUUCGCGCGCUAGUCGCCGCUGAGGGGCCGGCGAUGCGCGAGGAGUUCCGGCGAGGAAGGUCGGUCAGUGGACAUGGCCGAGGCCCGCGGUGUCCGCGUGUGGGAGCUGCAGGGCUGAGGAGAGGCCGCCCGCAACCCUCGGGAAUCGUGUGAGGUGCCACUGGGGUCGCUUCACAUCAGGAGGCCCCGUCUCGGGGGACGCGCGCAGUCCCUUUAUAGGCACAACUGCUUAAAGAAACCAGAUGGCCCCAGGAUGGUGCCAGAGCUUCCUGACCCCUUAUCAGAUACCAGAGGAAGAUAAGACUGCAGAGCGGAACAGGAUAGGCAACCCCUGAUCCUUGAUCAAGUCACAUUUGCAGAGACCUCUUUUUCAAAUAAGAGACGAGGUCUCACUAUGUUGGCCAGGUUGGUCUCGAAUUCCUGGCCGCAAGCCGUUCUCCAGUCUGGGCCUCCCAAAGUGCUAGGAUUACAGGAACAGAAUUGCCAUUGGGCCCAGGGAGAGACUACACUUCUUGUCUGCUUUGUUGCUAGUGCGGCCUUGUGGCCAAGCACAGAACGUGUGCAGUGAUGAUGGUGCAACUUCUAGGUCGUCCCCAGCAUGGAAAAUGAGCCCUGGGCAUGGAAGAUGAGCCCUGGUCCUGCAGCGGUGCUCUUUCCUCUUCUCACAAGCUGGAAUGUGCAUGUGCUCCCACCCAGCUUUGACCAUGGGGCGAAAACAGUACUCUGCAGUCUGGCAGAGCAACAAGGUGGAAAGGGCCUGGGUCCUUGAGUGACGUCAUGAGCCCUCUCACUGUCCCGACUUUGGGACUGUUAUAUGAUAAGGACUUUCUGUGAGUCACUGUCUUUUAGAGUCUCUCUGUUUUAGCUGCCUGGACUUUAUCCUGAAUAAUAUGGCUGUUAUCAUGGG
rnacentral:lncRNA from 1 species